GAUGAACGCUUGCGGCAGGCUUAACACAUGCAAGUCGAGGGGCAGCACGGUGUAGCAAUACACUGGUGGCGACCGGCGCACGGGUGCGUAACACGUAUGCAACCUGCCCUUCACAGGGAGAUAGCCUUUCGAAAGGAAGAUUAAUAUCCCAUGGUUCCGCUGAAUCGCAUGGUUUGGCGGAUAAAGGAGCAAUCCGGUGAAGGAUGGGCAUGCGUCCCAUUAGAUAGUUGGCGGGGUAACGGCCCACCAAGUCUUCGAUGGGUAGGGGUCCUGAGAGGGUUAUCCCCCACACUGGUACUGAGACACGGACCAGACUCCUACGGGAGGCAGCAGUGAGGAAUAUUGGGCAAUGGACGAAAGUCUGACCCAGCCAUGCCGCGUGCAGGAUGACGGCCCUAUGGGUUGUAAACUGCUUUUCUAUUAGAAGAAUUGCCGACACGAGAUAUUGGAUUGACGGUAUAAUAGGAAUAAGCAUCGGCUAACUCCGUGCCAGCAGCCGCGGUAAUACGGAGGAUGCGAGCGUUAUCCGGAUUCAUUGGGUUUAAAGGGUGCGUAGGCGGUUCAUUAAGUCAGUGGUGAAAUUUUUCGGCUCAACCGGAAGCGUGCCAUUGAUACUGAUAAACUGGAAUACAGACGGGGCAGGCGGAAUAUGUAAUGUAGCGGUGAAAUGCGUAGAUAUUACAUAGAACACCGAUCGCGCAGGCAGCUUGCCAGACUGGGGAGUACGAUCGCAAGGUUGAAACUCAAAGGAAUUGACGGGGGCCCGCACAAGCGGAGGAGCAUGUGGUUUAAUUCGAUGAUACGCGAGGAACCUUACCUGGGCUAGAACCGGCGCCGGCGAUCUGUGAAAGCAGAUUUUUCUACGGAACGGCGUUGGAGGUGCUGCAUGGUUGUCGUCGGCUCGUGCCGUGAGGUGUCGGAUUAAGUUCCAUAACGAGCGCAACCCCUACUGUUAGUUGCCAGCAUGUAAAGAUGGGGACUAUAGCAGGACUGCCGGCGCAAGCCGAGAGGAAGGUGGGGAUGACGUCAAAUCAGCACGGCCCUUAUGUCCAGGGCUACACACGUGCUACAAUGGCCGGUACAGAGGGCAGCUACCUGGUAACAGGAUGCCAAUCUCGAAAACCGGUCUCAGUUCGGAUCGAAGUCUGCAACUCGACUUCGUGAAGUUGGAUUCGCUAGUAAUCGCGCAUCAGCCAUGGCGCGGUGAAUACGUUCCCGGGCCUUGUACACACCGCCCGUCAAGCCAUGGAAGCCGGGGGUACCUGAAGUUCACGACCGUAAGGAGUGACCUAGGGUAAAACUGGUGACUGGGGCU
rnacentral:rRNA from 1 species